rnacentral:rRNA from 1 species
CCUACGGGAGGCAGCAGUGGGGGAUAUUGCACAAUGGGGGGAACCCUGAUGCAGCGACGCCGCGUGGGUGAAGAAGCGCCUCGGCGCGUAAAGCCCUGUCAGCAGGGAAGAAAAUGACGGUACCUGACGAAGAAGCCCCGGCUAACUACGUGCCAGCAGCCGCGGUAAUACGUAGGGGGCAAGCGCUAUCCGGAUUUACUGGGUGAAAAGGGGGCGCAGACGGCGAUGCAAGCCAGUAGUGAAAGCCCGGGGCCAAACCCCGGGACUGCUCUUGGAACUGCGUGGCUGGAGUGCAGGAGGGGCAGGCGGAAUUCCUGGUGGAGCGGUGAAAUGCGUAGAUAUCAGGAGGAACACCGGUGGCGAAGGCGGCCUGCUGGACUUCAACUGACGUUGAGGCCCGAAAGCGUGGGGAGCAAACAGGAUUAGAUACCCAUGUAGUC